rnacentral:rRNA from 1 species
AAUAUUGCACAAUGGGCGCAAGCCUGAUGCAGCCAUGCCGCGUGUAUGAAGAAGGCCUUCGGGUUGUAAAGUACUUUCAGCAGUGAGGAAGGUGGAUAUGUUAAUAGCAUAUUCAUUUGACGUUAGCUGCAGAAGAAGCACCGGCUAACUCCGUGCCAGCAGCCGCGGUAAUACGGAGGGUGCGAGCGUUAAUCGGAAUUACUGGGCGUAAAGCGCAUGCAGGUGGUUUGUUAAGUCAGAUGUGAAAGCCCCGGGGCUCAACCUCGGAAUUGCAUUUGAAACUGGCAAACUAGAGUACUGUAGAGGGGGUAGAAUUUCAGGUGUAGCGGUGAAAUGCGUAGAGAUCUGAAGGAAUACCGGUGGCGAAGGCGGCCCCCUGGACAGAUACUGACACUCAGAUGCGAAAGCGUGGGGAGCAAACAGGAUUAGAUACCCUGGUAG